GCCCUAGCUUGGUUCUAAAUCCCAUGGUGCCUUCUCCUUGGGAAAAACAGAGAAGGCACUAUGAGAUUUAGAAUCAAGUUAGG
rnacentral:pre_miRNA from 10 species